GCGAAUCGCCCUUCGGGGUGCGCAGGCGCGAAAACUUUACAAUGCGGGAAACCGUGAUAAGGGGAUUCCGAGUGCCAGCAUCAUAUGUUGGCUGUCCGGUUGUGUAAAAUACACCCGAUUUCAAGGGCCGGGAAAAACCGGUGCCAGCCGCCGCGGUAACACCGGCGGCCCAAGUGGUGAUCAUGAUUAUUGGGUCUAAAGGGUCCGUACCCGGUUUGGUCAUUCCUCCGGGAAAUCUGACGGUUCAACCGUUAAGCUUUCGGGAGAUACUGCCAGGUUUGAAACCGGGAGAGGUAAGAGGUAUUACAGGGGUAGGAGUGAAAUCUUGUAAUCCCUGUGAGACCACCUGUGGAAAAGGCGUCUUACCAAAAAGGUUUCGACGGAGAGGGAAAAAAGCUGGGGGCACAAACCAUAUUAUAUACCCGGGUAGUCCCAUCCGUAAACUAUGCUCUUUAGGUGUCAGGCAUGUUGCGACCGUGUCUGGUGCCACAGGAAAUCCUUGAACCGAUCCACCUGGAAAGUACGGCCGCAAGGCUGAAACUUAAAAGAAUUGGCGGGAGAGCAC
rnacentral:rRNA from 1 species